UUAGUACUCCCUCCGUCCGGAAAUACUUGUUCUAGAGAUGAAUGUAUCUAGACUUAUUUUAGUUAUAGAUACAUCCAUUAUAUCCAUUUCUAGGACAAGUAUUUCCGGACGGAGGAAGUACUUC
rnacentral:pre_miRNA from 1 species